CCGACUUUAGCUCAGUUGGUAGAGCGCAAGACUGUAAUGGUUAUGACGUUCAUAUCUUGAUGCCGCCUGUUCGAUCCAGGCAAGUCGGA
rfam:Termitomyces sp. J132 unplaced genomic scaffold scaffold340, whole genome shotgun sequence.